rnacentral:rRNA from 1 species
AACGAACGCUGGCGGCAUGCCUAACACAUGCAAGUCGAACGAGACCUUCGGGUCUAGUGGCGCACGGGUGCGUAACGCGUGGGAACCUGCCCUUAGGUUCGGAAUAACUCCCCGAAAGGGGUGCUAAUACCGGAUAAUGUCUUCGGACCAAAGAUUUAUCGCCUUUGGAUGGGCCCGCGUUGGAUUAGCUAGUUGGUAGGGUAAAAGCCUACCAAGGCGACGAUCCAUAGCUGGUCUGAGAGGAUGAUCAGCCACACUGGGACUGAGACACGGCCCAGACUCCUACGGGAGGCAGCAGUGGGGAGUAUUAGACAAUGGGCGAAAGCGUGAUCCAGCAAUGCCGCGUGAGAGAUGAAGGCCUUAGGGUUGUAAAGCUCUUUUACCCGGGAUGAUAAUGACAGUACCGGGAGAAUAAGCUCCGGCUAACUCCGUG